rnacentral:lncRNA from 1 species
GAUCCUUAAAACACCUGCAGGUUACUGAUUUGUAAACCUUUGAUAUGACAGACCUUAGGAUUCAGUUGGGUCUAGAUAAAAAUCCCAGCUUUACUUGGUAAAUUUCAGUUGUUAAGUAUCUUGUAGUAUUAAAAGAUUUAAUACUAUUGCUUUUCCUUAGAAUAUAUUAAAGCAAUAGUAUUGUUUCUGCUUACAAUAUUGUAAAUAUUGGUUUCAGUUAGCAUAAACAUCUAAUUUUUUGCUCUUAGACCACUAAGAGAGAUACAAGUGGUGGAUUUCAGAGAACUUCCUGAACCAUUGAAAAGCAGGAGAAAGUACGCUUCUGUAAUCCUGUCACAUCUGUUCUAAAGGAUUCCAGGGACUCUGACCUGCGACUCAAAAAACUGACAUCACAAGGCACCAAACUUCCCCGAAAGCUGAGGAAAAAUAAGCACCUUCAAGAAGAGAAAAGACAAAAGCACUGACCUUGUGGCAAAGCACAGGAGGAAGGGAAAGCUACUAUGCAAGAAGAGAGAGAGGAAUGUAAGAGAAGACAGUCACUAUGUUGAAGAGAAGUUUAGAGGACUGCCCAGAGUAAAGAAAUCCCCUUCCAAGUGUUUCUCCUGCAGCCUUGGCAAAAAUAUACACAUCAGGGAUACAGACUUCUUCAAUGACUUGUUUACUUGGAAGAAUGUUUAAGCCAAGCACAGUGGUACACACCUCUAAUCCCAGCACUUGGGAAGCUGAGACAGUAGGAUCACUGCGAUUUUGAGGCCAGCCUGGGCUACAUAGUGAUUUCAAGGCCAGCCUGUACUACAUUGUGAAACCUGUUUUAAAAAAGAAUGUUUAGUUUCUAAGUGUUUGGAAAUUUUCCUGUUAUCUUUCUAUUAUUGAUUUGUAGUUUAAUUCCAGUGUGGUCAGAGAACAUAUUCCAUAUGAUUUCAAUUUGUUCAGGUUUGUUUUAUGGUCUAUCAUUUUUCUUGAUAUCCAUCUAUCUUGGUGUAUCAAAUUCCAUGGGCACUUGAAAAGAAUAAGUAGUGUGUUGUCAGAGUGUUUAUAAAUGUUGAUUAGACCUUGUUGUUUGACAGCAUUGUUAGUUCUUCAUAUCUUUGCUGAUUUCCUAC